rnacentral:rRNA from 1 species
AGAUUGAACGCUGGCGGCAUGCUUUACACAUGCAAGUCGAACGGUAACAGGCCGCAAGGUGCUGACGAGUGGCGAACGGGUGAGUAAUAUAUCGGAACGUGCCCAGUCGUGGGGGAUAACGUAGAGAAAUUUACGCUAAUACCGCAUACGAUCCAAGGAUGAAAGCGGGGGAUCGCAAGACCUCGCGCGAUUGGAGCGGCUGAUAUCAGAUUAGGUUGUUGGUGAGGUAAAAGCUCACCAAGCCGACGAUCUGUAGCUGGUUUGAGAGAACGACCAGCCACACUGGGACUGAGACACGGCCCAGACUCCUACGGGAGCAGCAGUGGGGAAUUUUGGACAA